rnacentral:rRNA from 1 species
CGUACACUCCUGCGGGAGGCAGCAGUGGGGAAUAUUGGACAAUGGGCGCAAGCCUGAUCCAGCCAUGCCGCGUGAGUGAUGAAGGCCCUAGGGUUGUAAAGCUCUUUCACCGGUGAAGAUAAUAACGGUAACCGGAGAAGAAGCCCCGGCUAACUUCGUGCCAGCAGCCGCGGUAAUACGAAGGGGGCUAGCGUUGUUCGGAUUUACUGGGCGUAAAGCGCACGUAGGCGGACUAUUAAGUCAGGGGUGAAAUCCCGGGGCUCAACCCCGGAACUGCCUUUGAUACUGGUAGUCUUGAGUUCGAGAGAGGUGAGUGGAAUUCCGAGUGUAGAGGUGAAAUUCGUAGAUAUUCGGAGGAACACCAGUGGCGAAGGCGGCUCACUGGCUCGAUACUGACGCUGAGGUGCGAAAGCGUGGGGAGCAAACAGGAUUAGAAACCCCGGUAGUCCCAUGA